rnacentral:lncRNA from 1 species
GAGCUGUGGCUACGCUGCUUUAUAACUCAUCUUUCUAUCUGACCUCUGGGAGUCCAGUGAAAGACCAAAACUUUACUGCUGUUUAUGUUUGCAUGUAGUAAUGGUGGGAGAACUAAAUGACCCUGAAAAUUCUGGAAAUGAGGAGAAACAGACUAAAGCCACAGGCAGCAGAUGAAUGAAGAGAGAGAAGAGUGCUUUAGAACGCCUCCAUCACCACCUGUUGCACUGUCCUGAUGCUUGUGCUCCCCUUCAAGAGGCAGAAGGAACAAAUCUGGGAUGGCUGGCUCACUGUGAGUGUCUCCCAUGUCCCUGUGUCACAGACACAGGGUGUCACAGUCACCCUGAAUGUCCACCAGUUUAUGUUUUCUUUGUGGCCCUGUUCACUGAUUUUGGAUCAGGCUAAUCUUUCCUCAGUGUCCUCCUCUCCCCUAAUUUGUGAGUCUGAGCUGAAAUCCCACUGACAUGAGGGCGAUAGAACAGCAGAAUCUGUGUCUGCAAGGUACAAAUUAGCAUCGGC